rnacentral:rRNA from 1 species
AAACGCUGGCGGCGUGCUUAACACAUGCAAGUCGAACGAAGUUUUUCUUUCGGGAGGAACUUAGUGGCGGACGGGUGAGUAACGCGUGGGUAACCUGCCCUGUACAGGGGGACAACAGCUGGAAACGGCUGCUAAUACCGCAUAAGCCCUUAGCACUGCAUGGUGCAUAGGGAAAAGGAGCAAUCCGGUACAGGAUGGACCCGCGUCUGAUUAGCCAGUUGGCAGGGUAACGGCCUACCAAAGCGACGAUCAGUAGCCGAUCUGAGAGGAUGUACGGCCACAUUGGGACUGAGACACGGCCCAGACUCCUACGGGAGGCAGCAGUGGGGAAUAUUGCACAAUGGAGGAAACUCUGAUGCAGCGACGCCGCGUGAGUGAAGAAGUAUUUCGGUAUGUAAAGCUCUAUCAGCAGGAAAGAAAAUGACGGUACCUGACUAAGAAGCACCGGCUAAAUACGUG